CCUCAGCGUCCGGAGUAGCUAGGACUACAGGCGCCCGCUACCACGCCCGGCUAAUUUUUUUGUAGUUUUAGUAGAGACGGGGUUUCACCGUGUUAGCCAGGAUGGUCUCCAUCUCCUGACCUCGUGAUCCGCCCGCCUCGGCCUCCCAAAGCGUUGGGAUUACAGGAGUGAGCCACCGCGCCCGGCCGGCUGGAGUGCAGUGGCAUGAUCUCGGCUCACUGCAACCUCCGCCUCCCGGGUUCAAGUGAUUCUCCUGCCUCAGCCUCCCAAAUAGCUGUGAUUACAGGUCACAGUGUCCAUGUAACUAACUCCUGGUUAAGAGGAUAUGGAUAGAAGGCACAUGUUCAACUUCUGGCUUCUGUCCUUGAAAAGUGUGAUGAUUCCAUCCUUUGCUGUCUUCCUUCCCGCUGACUGGAAUGUGGACUUGGUAGUGAGCUACCUUGGACUAUGUGGAUGAAGACAAAGAUAAAAGGAACCAAGGACUCUGAUGAUUCUGUAGAGAAGAGGAACCGUAGCUGCUCAAACGUUCAUGUGAAAGAAGAAUAAACUAUCAGAUUUAAGCCACUGCUAUUUUGGGUCUUUGUGAUAAACAGUGUUUACCAUAUCCUAAUUCACUAUUCCUUCCAUUUCUAGGUCAACCAUGUUGAAUUAAAUAUAGUGCUCUAACUUGCAA
ensembl:lncRNA novel transcript